rnacentral:rRNA from 1 species
GACGAACGCUGGCGGCGUGCCUAAUACAUGCAAGUUGAGCGAUGAAGAUUGGUGCUUGCACCAAUUUGAAGAGCAGCGAACGGGUGAGUAACGCGUGGGGAAUCUGCCUUUGAGCGGGGGACAACAUUUGGAAACGAAUGCUAAUACCGCAUAACAACUUUAAACAUAAGUUUUAAGUUUGAAAGAUGCAAUUGCAUCACUCAAAGAUGAUCCCGCGUUGUAUUAGCUAGUUGGUGAGGUAAAGGCUCACCAAGGCGAUGAUACAUAGCCGACCUGAGAGGGGGAUCGGCCACAUUGGGACUGAGACACGGCCCAAACUCCUACGGGAGGCAGCAGUAGGGAAUCUUCGGCAAUGGACGAAAGUCUGACCGAGCAACGCCGCGUGAGUGAAGAAGGUUGUCGGAUCGUAAAACUCUGUUGGUAGAGAAGAACGUUGGUGAGAGUGGAAAGCUCGUCAAGUGACGGUAACUACCCAGAAAGGGACGGCUAACUACGUG